CCUACGGGUGGCAGCAGUGAGGAAUAUUGGUCAAUGGGCUUACGCCUGAACCAGCCAAGUCGCGUGAGGGAAGACUGCCCUAUGGGUUGUAAACCUCUUUUGUCAGGGAGUAAUUGGCGCUACGUGUAGCGUUAUCGAGAGUACCUGUAAAAAAAGCUUCGGCUAAUUCCGUGCCAGCAGCGGCGUAAUUCCGGAGGAUGCGAGAGUUAUCCGGAUUUUUUGGGUUUAAGGGGUGCGUGGGCGGUAGGCAAAGUCAUCGGUAAAAUUGCGGGGCUAAACGUCGCAGCGCCGUUGAAACUGGCAUUCUUGAGUGGACGAGAGGUAUGCGGAAUGCGUGGUGUAGCGGUGAAAUGCUUAGAUAUCACGCAGAACUCCGAUUGCGAAGGCAGCACACCGGCGCCCAACUGACGCUGAAGCACGAAAGCGUGGGUAUCGAACAGGAUUAGAUACCCCGGUAGUC
rnacentral:rRNA from 1 species